UUCACUCACCGAGCAACUGGGGGUUCAUUGACAAUUAAGUUGAAUGAGAGGCCACUUCCUACAUCCAUGAGAUUUAAGGCUUGCAUCUUGCUGGUUAAUAAUGGUGACUAUGAGGCUCCUGAUAGAGAUAAAAGGUUACGUAUUUCUUUCGGUGUUAGGUCUAUAACAUUGGCAGAAUAUAUUUCUCCAGGCCUAACAGAGCAUCUGUACACAUUCGAAAUCGAAGCAAUUGUAACUUCCAGCGAGCUUGUCUUUGAGUUUAACGUCGAAAACGGUAACGACUGGAAGAUAGGAGAAUGCGGGUUACGUUCGGAAGUUCUACAUGUUGUUGAUGGACACGAAUGAGAGCCUGAGCGGUACAGACUGUUGUGGAUUUGAGAAUAUAAAUAAAUGAUUUCUUGACUUUUUAAUGUCAAUUAUGUUGUUUCUUUGACAUACGAGAUCGGAUUUCUUUUCUGCCUCAACCAUUCGAACGCCCAAAAGUCCUCUCGAAGAGCUCUUUGACUUCGACAGAAGCCAAGACGAAGACAAACCUGUUAUCUAUGGUCGAGGUUGGAAAGCUUCGGAAUUGUGUUUCAAGUCAUGGGAUGAUCUUCAGAAGCUGUGGUAUGUUCGCUUGAAAGAGAAGAACAUGUUGAUCAGUUGGUGCCUUAUGCUUCAAGCCCAAAACGUGCAGAAUCGGAGUCUUGAAUGCAUUCCAAAGGAUGUUCUGACAAGAAAUAGAAUCCUUUUCUCAAAAGCACAUGGCUGUCUUAAUGCGCAGUUUAAAGCAAUUUCUGACACUGAGAUCAAUUGAAGAACCAGAAACCAAAAGAUCAGCCGAGAUGAAAAGAAAGGUUAAUGCUAUGUGACUUGUAUUUGACACCGGUACUGAAUAGGCCGAGAAGUUUUAGUAUUUGAAUAGAAUAGAGACAAAACAAGAAAGGCUUUGUUUCCCUUGCCCUUGUAAGUAAUAUUUCUUUGGUAUGGAACUUAAGCGUUUCGUUGUAGACUUGUUCAGUUUAAAGAAAGAUCAAAUAUAAUUCUGUGCAAAGCGUUAAGAA